UACGUAGGGUGCAAGCGUUGUCCGGAAUUAUUGGGCGUAAAGAGCUCGUAGGCGGUUUGUCGCGUCUGGUGUGAAAAAUCCAGGGCUUAACCCUGGACCUGCAUCGGGUACGGGCAGACUAGAGUGCGGUAGGGGAGAUCGGAAUUCCUGGUGUAGCGGUGAAAUGCGCAGAUAUUGGGAGGAACACCAGUGGCGAAGGCGGCUCACUGGACCGGUACUGACGCUGAGGCGCGAAAGCGUGGGGAGCAAACAGGG
rnacentral:rRNA from 1 species